ensembl:snRNA U6 U6 spliceosomal RNA
GUGCUCACUUCAGCAGCACAUAUACUAAAAUUGGAAUGACUCAGAGAAGAUUAGCAUAGCCUCUGUGUAAGGAUGACAUGCAAAUCCCGUGAAAGAUUCCAUAUGCUA